rnacentral:rRNA from 1 species
CCUACGGGAGGCAGCAGUGGGGAAUCUUGCACAAUGGAGGAAACUCUGAUGCAGCGAUGCCGCGUGAGUGAAGAAGGCCUUUGGGUUGUAAAACUCUUUUGUAGGGGAAGAUAAUGACUGUACCCUAAGAAUAAGGUCCGGCUAACUUCGUGCCAGCAGCCGCGGUAAUACGAAGGGACCUAGCGUAGUUCGGAAUUACUGGGCGUAAAGCGCGCGUAGGCCGUUGAGUUAGUUAAUUGUGAAAUCCCAAAGCUUAACUUUGGAACUGCAAUUAAAACUGCUCGACUAGAGUUUGAUAGAGGAAAGCGGAAUACAUAGUGUAGAGGUGAAAUUCGUAGAUAUUAUGUAGAACACCAGUUGCGAAGGCGGCUUUCUGGAUCAACACUGACGCUGAGGCGCGAAAGUAUGGGUAGCAAAGAGGAUUAGAUACCCUCGUAGUCCAUACCAUAAACGAUGAUUGCUAGAUGUUGGAAAUUUAUUUCAGUAUCGCANCUACGACAUAGUACAUCGCCGUGGUAGUACGACCGACGAACGUAAACGUACAAGAAUAGAGCGNGAGAGNGCGACGACGACGACGAGGAGAG